AGUGAACGCUGGCGGUAGGCCUAACACAUGCAAGUCGAACGGCAGCACAGUAAGAGCUUGCUCUUACGGGUGGCGAGUGGCGGACGGGUGAGGAAUACAUCGGAAUCUACUUUUUCGUGGGGGAUAACGUAGGGAAACUUACGCUAAUACCGCAUACGACCUACGGGUGAAAGCAGGGGAUCUUCGGACCUUGCGCGAUUGAAUGAGCCGAUGUCGGAUUAGCUAGUUGGCGGGGUAAAGGCCCACCAAGGCGACGAUCCGUAGCUGGUCUGAGAGGAUGAUCAGCCACGCUGGAACUGAGACACGGUCCAGACUCCUACGGGAGGCAGCAGUGGGGAAUAUUGGACAAUGGGCGCAAGCCUGAUCCAGCCAUACCGCGUGGGUGAAGAAGGCCUUCGGGUCGUAAAGCCCUUUUGUUGGGAAAGAAAAGCAGCAGGUUAAUACCCCGCUGUUCUGACGGUACCCAAAGAAUAAGCACCGGCUAACUUCGUG
rnacentral:rRNA from 1 species